CAGCAGCCGCGGGAAUACGUAGGUGGCAAGCGUUGUCCGGAAUUAUUGGGCGUAAAGGGCUCGCAGGCGGUUUCUUAAGUCUGAUGUGAAAGCCCCCGGCUCAACCGGGGAGGGUCAUUGGAAACUGGGAAACUUGAGUGCAGAAGAGGAGAGUGGAAUUCCACGUGUAGCGGUGAAAUGCGUAGAGAUGUGGAAGAACACCAGUGGCGAAGGCGACUCUCUGGUCUGUAACUGACACUGAGGAGCGAAAGCGUGGGGAGCGAACAGGAUUAGAUACCCGUGUAGUCCCUGUCUCUUAUAC
rnacentral:rRNA from 1 species